rnacentral:rRNA from 1 species
GAUUAAGUUAUUAAGGGCGCACGGUGGAUGCCUUGGCACUAGAAGCCGAUGAAGGACGUUACUAACGACGAUAUGCUUUGGGGAGCUGUAAGUAAGCUUUGAUCCAGAGAUUUCCGAAUGGGGAAACCCAGCAUGAGUUAUGUCAUGUUAUCGAUAUGUGAAUACAUAGCAUAUCAGAAGGCACACCCGGAGAACUGAAACAUCUUAGUACCCGGAGGAAGAGAAAGAAAAUUCGAUUCCCUUAGUAGCGGCGAGCGAAACGGGAAGAGCCCAAACCAACAAGCUUGCUUGUUGGGGUUGUAGGACACUCUAUACGGAGUUACAAAGGACGACAUUAGACGAAUCAUCUGGAAAGAUGAAUCAAAGAAGGUAAUAAUCCUGUAGUCGAAAAUGUUGUCUCUCUUGAGUGGAUCCUGAGUACGACGGAGCACGUGAAAUUCCGUCGGAAUCUGGGAGGACCAUCUCCUAAGGCUAAAUACUCUCUAGUGACCGAUAGUGAACCAGUACCGUGAGGGAAAGGUGAAAAGCACCCCGGAAGGAGAGUGAAAUAGAACCUGAAACCGUGUGCUUACAAGUAGUCAGAGCCCGUUAAUGGGUGAUGGCGUGCCUUUUGUAGAAUGAACCGGCGAGUUACGAUUUGAUGCAAGGUUAAGCAGUAAAUGUGGAGCCGUAGCGAAAGCGAGUCUGAAUAGGGCGUUUAGUAUUUGGUCGUAGACCCGAAACCAGGUGAUCUACCCUUGGUCAGGUUGAAGUUCAGGUAACACUGAAUGGAGGACCGAACCGACUUACGUUGAAAAGUGAGCGGAUGAACUGAGGGUAGCGGAGAAAUUCCAAUCGAACCUGGAGAUAGCUGGUUCUCUCCGAAAUAGCUUUAGGGCUAGCCUCAAGUGAUGAUUAUUGGAGGUAGAGCACUGUUUGGACGAGGGGCCCCUCUCGGGUUACCGAAUUCAGACAAACUCCGAAUGCCAAUUAAUUUAACUUGGGAGUCAGAACAUGGGUGAUAAGGUCCGUGUUCGAAAGGGAAACAGCCCAGACCACCAGCUAAGGUCCCAAAAUAUAUGUUAAGUGGAAAAGGAUGUGGCGUUGCCCAGACAACUAGGAUGUUGGCUUAGAAGCAGCCAUCAUUUAAAGAGUGCGUAAUAGCUCACUAGUCGAGUGACACUGCGCCGAAAAUGUACCGGGGCUAAACAUAUUACCGAAGCUGUGGAUUGUCCUUUGGACAAUGGUAGGAGAGCGUUCUAAGGGCGUUGAAGCAUGAUCGUAAGGACAUGUGGAGCGCUUAGAAGUGAGAAUGCCGGUGUGAGUAGCGAAAGACGGGUGAGAAUCCCGUCCACCGAUUGACUAAGGUUUCCAGAGGAAGGCUCGUCCGCUCUGGGUUAGUCGGGUCCUAAGCUGAGGCCGACAGGCGUAGGCGAUGGAUAACAGGUUGAUAUUCCUGUACCACCUAUAAUCGUUUUAAUCGAUGGGGGGACGCAGUAGGAUAGGCGAAGCGUGCGAUUGGAUUGCACGUCUAAGCAGUAAGGCUGAGUAUUAGGCAAAUCCGGUACUCGUUAAGGCUGAGCUGUGAUGGGGAGAAGACAUUGUGUCUUCGAGUCGUUGAUUUCACACUGCCGAGAAAAGCCUCUAGAUAGAAAAUAGGUGCCCGUACCGCAAACCGACACAGGUAGUCAAGAUGAGAAUUCUAAGGUGAGCGAGCGAACUCUCGUUAAGGAACUCGGCAAAAUGACCCCGUAACUUCGGGAGAAGGGGUGCUCUUUAGGGUUAACGCCCAGAAGAGCCGCAGUGAAUAGGCCCAAGCGACUGUUUAUCAAAAACACAGGUCUCUGCUAAACCGUAAGGUGAUGUAUAGGGGCUGACGCCUGCCCGGUGCUGGAAGGUUAAGAGGAGUGGUUAGCUUCUGCGAAGCUACGAAUCGAAGCCCCAGUAAACGGCGGCCGUAACUAUAACGGUCCUAAGGUAGCGAAAUUCCUUGUCGGGUAAGUUCCGACCCGCACGAAAGGCGUAACGAUUUGGGCACUGUCUCAACGAGAGACUCGGUGAAAUCAUAGUACCUGUGAAGAUGCAGGUUACCCGCGACAGGACGGAAAGACCCCGUGGAGCUUUACUGUAGCCUGAUAUUGAAAUUCGGCACAGCUUGUACAGGAUAGGUAGGAGCCUUUGAAACGUGAGCGCUAGCUUACGUGGAGGCGCUGGUGGGAUACUACCCUAGCUGUGUUGGCUUUCUAACCCGCACCACUUAUCGUGGUGGGAGACAGUGUCAGGCGGGCAGUUUGACUGGGGCGGUCGCCUCCUAAAAGGUAACGGAGGCGCUCAAAGGUUCCCUCAGAAUGGUUGGAAAUCAUUCAUAGAGUGUAAAGGCAUAAGGGAGCUUGACUGCGAGACCUACAAGUCGAGCAGGGUCGAAAGACGGACUUAGUGAUCCGGUGGUUCCGCAUGGAAGGGCCAUCGCUCAACGGAUAAAAGCUACCCCGGGGAUAACAGGCUUAUCUCCCCCAAGAGUUCACAUCGACGGGGAGGUUUGGCACCUCGAUGUCGGCUCAUCGCAUCCUGGGGCUGUAGUCGGUCCCAAGGGUUGGGCUGUUCGCCCAUUAAAGCGGUACGCGAGCUGGGUUCAGAACGUCGUGAGACAGUUCGGUCCCUAUCCGUCGUGGGCGUAGGAAAUUUGAGAGGAGCUGUCCUUAGUACGAGAGGACCGGGAUGGACAUACCUCUGGUGUACCAGUUGUCGUGCCAACGGCAUAGCUGGGUAGCUAUGUGUGGACGGGAUAAGUGCUGAAAGCAUCUAAGCAUGAAGCCCCCCUCAAGAUGAGAUUUCCCAACUUCGGUUAUAAGAUCCCUCAAAGAUGAUGAGGUUAAUAGGUUCGAGGUGGAAGCAUGGUGACAUGUGGAGCUGACGAAUACUAAUCGAUCGAAGACUUAAUCAA